UGAUUCCCGUUUGCGUUGAGAGCGAGGACCGAACGGAUGGAAGAGGCACGUGACUGCUUGACGGUAUGUACCGGAGUCUCACAUCCCCUAAAAUAGUCGAGCUAACUGUGAUAGGUCAGCGCUCCUUUGGAUCCCUUUUUAACGAAUGCCCUUAAGAUGGGCAGUCGGCUCCUGCCCUUCACUCCUUUUCUACUCGUUUCAAGAUUCUCGUAUAGAAAGAAGAGUUGACUCAAUCAUCUUGAAAGUGAGAACUCAUAAUUAUAUAUGAGAAUACUGAUAUAGAGUACCGUGGUGGUUAAAUAUUCUUUAGCUAACUAGUUUAUGUAUAUGUACUAGGUCGACCUAGCACUACUAUUGAUUACGUUGGUUAUUUAAAACAACCAAAGAGGCAAGCUCUUUCCUCUUCUUUCUUUCGUCCACUGGGGUUAGCUCCACUCUUGCUAGACGUCAUGAUGAUAUACGUUUCAUCCAUCUGGUAAGGGAAGGGGUAUUCCGACAAAACCCCCGAUCUUAAAAGACAUCAAGCACAGUCAGCAUAGAAGUGAGCUUCCUAAAGUGCAAGUCAGGAAAGCUCUCGAAUCUGGUUUGUGAAAUCAUCUGAUGCACGUAUCCGCUCUACCCGUUCUCUUUGCUUGGAAUUAAAUGUGGCACCAAUAUAAGUCAGUUAAUGGGAUAUUCCUGGUAAGCCAGGAAUUAGAACUAUUUGAUUGCUUUCUCUCAGGGAAUGUUGUGGGCAGGAUAAUGUUAGUGGAAUUCAUCGUCAUCAAGGUGAGUUUGGCACCUAGCGUGGAAUGGGAUAGGGUUUGCCCGGUCUUUCUUUCUGAAAUGAUUUAGUAACAGAAGAGCAGCUCGUUGCCAACUCCAAUACCAGGGUAAGUGACUCCCCCGGAAGUGGUGAUAGUGCCUUCCGUGUGGAACGAGCUACGGUCCCCCGUGGUAGUGGAGGUGGAGCAGAGGUAGUAGUUUCCCUCCUGAGUAGUAUCCCGGAGUUGUUCUGUAGCCAAAAUCCCCUUAGAUCGAGCGAGAAUGUGACUGGUUGGGAAGGGUUCUUGGGGAAGGGUUCCUUGAAGAGCUUGUUCCCUCCACUCUUGCUGCUUUCUUUGCUAUUGCUUCUGUUGAAUGUAAGAGAGAUGAAGGGCGAGUACAGUCUCUUGAUCCUCUAUACCUGCCCGACUUGGGCAUUUAGCUACGAGAAUAACUCAUCCCCUUUGAUCCCGCUCGAGUGGGAAUAUAGGAAGCUAAGGAGCUAGGUGAAUACCCCGAUGAGACCCUUCUUUAACCCGACCUGAAAAGGAAGAGUUUGAUUUCACUCUUUCACCUCUUAAACUCGUUCAAGCGGCAUUCAUCUUAGCAAGACUAUUCUUAUCUUCAGUCUUCAGACUCCCUUCUGUCGCUCGACAUAACUACACUAUCCGGAAUUAUCCUAUAUCAGGAGCUACAUAUGCUCUGCCCUUUCGCUUUCCGACCCCUCUUUCUCCGUUGAAGCCAUUCCCCAGAUACCACCAACUUGGUUCUUGUUAUCUCCUUCCUCCCCAUGCGUGAAAGACAAGGUCUGAGUUCACUUUCUAUUGAGCCUACUCCUUUUUACCUUCUUUGACUGGGACGACGUGACACGCAAUGGAUCGCUUAGAAAGGAGAACAAAUGGAUCACAUGUCCCCUUCUCAAAAGCCUUGGGUUGACCAAGGAUAGGAAAUCGAAUAGAUUUUGGGGCAUUCUGACCAUCUCCGUUAUUCUCCCCUUUAAGUAAGGAUUGAGAGGUCCCCCGCCUACCAGCCACCACUCAAAGGAUAACAGAGAUCCGGAACGAAAAGUAAAUCAAAAGUCUCUUACAACUUUUACCAAGGUGGUUUACUUGCUUACUUGUUAGAGAGAAGAGGAUGUUUGUGUAUGGAUGGAACUAAGAGCUUAGGGGGAAGAGGUAGGACUAGACAAACAAGCCAGCCAUUCGCCCUAUGUAAACUAGAGUAUGGAAGUGGAACUCAAUCCAGUCUGCUCUGCUCUCAUCCAGCAAGCUCUCUAACACUAACUAGUACUAACCUCUCUUUAGCUUAUCUGUCCUCUUCGCUACCUCUCAACAGUAAACUAGUCGCUUAGCUUUCUAACAAAGCAAGUAGCUAGCGUAUCUCUUCCCUCUUCGAGCCAACCGUUCACUUCCUCUAACGAGCGAGGAAACUUCGUUCACCACUUACUACGUUCUUUCAAAACCUUAGAUUCCCUCAAAGCAAAGGUGUGGAGUAGCGCUAGCUAACAAGUAAACGAGUAAAUAUUGCGUAAGUAAAGGGAAUGCUGUUGGCAUCUUCGAGCCAAGCUGGAGUUCUUGGUCGAGUAAGCCGGGUUACUAAUCAGUCUUCUCAUCUCUAAGACACCUAAUUCCUAACAAACUACGCACCUUCUUGUACUUCCAGCCAAGUAAGGCAAACUAGUUGCUGUUGUUGAGUUGAACAAACAGUAGUCAGAUAAUAGGCGGAUGGAAGAAAGAAAAGGGCAGCCCUUGCUUAGUUUGGCAAGCUCCUUCCUUUGUUGAGCUCUGUCAUACCGCUCUUCUAUCUCUUUCAUUGGCGCAAUCUUCUUUGAAUUCAAUAAAUAAUUGCGAUUUACUUUUAUGAAAGAUAUCUCCUCCCUUUAAUCUAAUCAGUAUAUUACUUAUGAGUAAGGAACUCUCCGAAAGGAAGGGAAGGUAAACAGGAGUUAACGGCAGGCGCAAUAGAAAGGCAGUUGGAGACAGGCGAUAGGCUUAGAUCAGAUGCAAAGCAAGCUCAGUCUCAAUAUGCGCAUUAGAGAAGGGGGGUUGGCGCUUCGGUCAAGAGGCUAGCUAGUGUCCCACCUUCCUGUCUUGACUGGUAGGCACAAUCCCUUGAGUCUAGUUCUUGAGCGAAGGAAUCGCUUUCAAUGACAAUUUCUCUUUAGAAAUCAGCCCUCUUCAAGCUGUCGAAUAUAGAUAGGAGAUCCACUUCAAGUUCAAGGCUGGCAACAAGCAUAAGUGCAAUCGCAAUCCCUAUGAAUAUCAUUAAUCAAUAUCUCUCCGGCCCUCUAGCACUCUGUUAUGGCGCAAUCACUGACUCUAGUUCUGGAGUUCUAGGUCCUCUAGCUAUUAGUGCUGGUAGCUCUCCUUCUGGUAAUGCAUUAUAGGCUGUCUUCCUUCCCCCUCUCUCUAUCGCCCUUCCUUCUUUUAGCAGCUCAUCUCGAAUCUUGAAUGUUUAGCGAAUCGAUCGUAAUUGGUCUGACCGCUCAAGGCUUAUCUCUCUAUUCCCCUUUCUGGUCUCCGGUCAUUGGUAGAAAGCCUGUAAAUUGAAUUUCUCUCCUCUCCCACCUCUCCGGCUUGGGAAUACUUCUGGCUAUAUAUCUGUAGUCACAAUGCCAGUUCAAGCUAUCUUCUAGAUAGAGCAAGAUAAAGUAUGCGCAAGUGCAGUAGUUCAAGGCAGGCAGGUAAGGGCAGGUAGUAAAGGCAAGCGCAUAGGCAGGGGAUAGGCAUUCAAAUCACUAUCUUCAAAUAGCAUAUAUAAGAGAAAGAUGAUGAUGAUGCACGAGCCACUCUUUCUGAAAGUUAAAUAAAGGCAUCCCUUCUCAGAUCAAUUGUAUGGUGUAUGGUCGAUGUAUGAAGAGAAACAAAGGGUGGCAAGGUCAAAGACAAAGACCACGCCAAACAUUGAAAGUUGAGUUCUCGUGAUGUCUGCUGCUUCAAGCUCGGAAAUCCCACUACUGAAUUAUCUCCAUUUCCAGGUCUUCCUACUAAAAGAAUCCUAUUUAUAUAGGAUAAAGCAAAGCACAUAGGUCUAAUUGCGCAGUGUAUAAUCUUUCCUUUCAUCUUAUAUUCUCUUGCUUGAGCGGAUUAGCCUAUCGAUUGAUGGUCCUAGGCUAUCUGGUUGUAUUAUAGCUCGGGUAGGUAAAGUUCAAGUAGUAGUAAGGAGUAAGUAUACAUAUUUGAUAUUUCAUUCGUGAGUGUGUUAACACGAGAAGGGAGGUAGGCGGGGUAUCGAUUCAAAGCUCGAGUACGUGGUCAAGUUCGUUCAUCAGAAGUCGUGGACAAGGAGAGAACUCGACAUCGUGCAAUUCCCAGCGAUCUGGUCAAUUUAUUUCCGCGAGACGCUGCUCUACUCUUUUGAUUUAGAUGCUUUUGAAACAGCUUAUUCUUCUUCGGACUCGAAUGCCCACGGAGCGGUAUUCUUUCAAACAGUUGCUAUUGCAUUUGGUCUCGCUAUGCUAGGCUAGCUUGAUUAAGAAUGCGCUUAAAGCUCUAGGGUUUGGUGAGGAGCACUAUUGCCCUGUCGUAUUGUUCCUUAUAACCCUAUGCCAAACUAAGGCACGGGGCUCUACUACGUCAUAUUUGGAAAACCUCUUAAUCUUAGCCUCACCCUUGCAUUUGCUUUCUUUCGCGAACGAAUCCAUCUUCUUAUAUGUGAAUGUCACUAUCAGAUCGUGAUUGGGAUCGUAACGACGAGCAGGACAACUAUGCCCUGUAUCAACGUUCAGUGUUCGCCACACCCGAAACAAGCAGCUUCACGUGCCCGCUCAUGCACGAGGGAUUAAACAUUUGUUAUAGAUGUUUGAUUUUCGAUUCAACAUCUGCCGGGCAAUUGAUCACCACAUGCAGUUCCGUAUCACGUGAAACUGAUGUGGUCAUUUUCAAAAAAAAUGGCUGAGAUAUGCAAUCUGGAUUUCCUAUAUUGUGGCAGUCGGGAAAAAGAAGGAAGGGAGGUUAGGUUGGUAUAGAGCAAAGCCAUGGUUUUGGAGCGCACUUAAAGCUACAAAGCAAAGAAGGCAAGGAUCGCACGUGGAAAAAGUAGGCCUCUAAGAGUAAGAGAGAGAGGCCUUGAUAGGAUGGUAACAAGUCGGUGGGGAAGGGCCCUGCUGAAUGGGGCAAAAGUCUUCCAAAUAGGAAAGUGAACGAUGCCUCGAUAUCUACCACAUUUAAAUGGAUCGGAUCUUGAGGCCCGAUCACAAGGUCAAGAAAAAGGACUCCACUCAACCCUCCAUGUUGAUGGAGGUUGGAUUCUCUAUGUAAUGUAUAGUUAGCUUUAAUGCUAGCUUCACGGGUUGAUGUAAGUAGAGAAAGGCUAAUUCGCAAUAGAGAUAUUUAGACCUUGUCAACCAGGGUAUACAGAGCCCCUACUUUGUACAAGCUCUAGAUCAUGUUCUAAAUUUCCCCGGUAUGUAGAGAAUAUUCGUUUUGCUUUGGUUCCAUUUAUUUUUAUUUGGCAUUCAGCGUAAGAACUAAAUCUUCCUAUCGCUCAUCCUAUGGGAAAAGGGAAAAAGAAUCUGCAUCAACUGUGUUCGCAUCAAUUUAUUAGCUUGAAGGAUGUACUGGUAUACUCUUCUCGAGUCUAUCUCUUUUCAAUAGGAUUCUUAUCUUCCUGCUCUGUAAGAUGUGAAGAAAGUCCGAGAUUGGAACCUUGGAGGGAGGUCCUGUUUUUCUUGUUUAUGCUGCUUUUUUCUGGUUAUAUUGUUUACUAAGAGAGAGUCUGGUUGAAGGCGAUGCCAUAAAAGGGAAUGGAACGGAAACUUCCUAUAAGGAAAUAGGAAAUCGCUGUCACCGCGGGACUGAUGUAAAAGAAACUGGGCAAUGGAACUCCUGGAGCUUCUCUGUGCCUGUCUUAUCGCUUUAUCCGAUUUGAAACUGAAAGCUUGAAAGCUUCUUUGCUUUUGCCAUUUAUCUAUCUAGCUGGCUCGCUAACUGCUAGUCUUUUAUUGGAAUAACUGCUAGGUUUUAUCUUAUCCUAUGGGGAUAACUAAGAGGCCUAGUCUUCUUACUAGAUUCUAUAUUAGGACACUCUUGGGGAAAGAUCGUUAGCCCAACCCUAUACAAACAUAUCAAAAGAAAAGCUCUAUGCUGCCACUCUCCCCCUAGCUUUCUUGUCCAUCCCUUUCGCUAGUGCUGAGUACUUAAACUGGGUCAAUAGGAAUUGUUACUCCUGCUACACUUCCAAUAGGAUAAAUGGCACUUGCUGUAAAAAACUUCGGGUCCUCCCUUGCUUCUGUCUAUCAUAUCGGUUACUCGAGCCGUUAACAACCGAUUCUAUUUCAUAGCAAACAAGCCCUUCUCCAACAGCCUAGGAUGAUUCAAUUUCUAAGAGCGUAUUCUGCCCAGAAAUCCCAUUCGAUGUUUAUUAGAGUCUAGGAUGAAUAUUCUUAACUGACUUCACCACCACUAUAAUCUCAACCAGUGCAUUAGCUAAGGCCAGUAACAACUCGAAAUAACAUAAGAUAUAAGAUAAGGAAUAAGGAAAGAGACCCCACCCGAAUUCUUGUCAAUUCUUCUUUUGGUGGACCUUCGUCCGUAGCGUAUAGUUUGUAGUCGGUCUUUGGCAGCCUUUGGGACGAAAUCCCCAUUUUUCUUGAUCGGGACUAGCCCACGUCAGGGAAUGUAAUUGUAGGUCACACUGAUAAUUGUUCACUGUCUUGCUAUCUGAACUUGAAGUGAAGAUUCUGUUUGUGUUCCGAUUACCGCACCGCGGGUAGAAGAUCUAAUAUUCAAGAAUUCGUUUUGAGUUCGUUCUUUUUCAUGUCUUGGUUCACAGUUUAUCUGAAUCAGACUAAGAGCUUGGCAUCAACAAAGCAAAGCAAGGCCCCAUUGAGCUUAGCCUAGAGCAGAUCGAAAAGUUCUCGCGAAGCCGGGAACCCUUUGCCGAAGAUCCUUCUCUUUCUCUGUGAAGAUAGACUGUUGUUUAUUGCUUUGCGUGUCAAGUGCGAGAUUGGUUGAGAACCCUUCGCCCACAGUGCUUUCAAGCUCCGUUUGGGCGCCCGUGUACUAGGGUUAAGGUGGAAGAUCGAAACGAAAUGGAAGUCAGCCUAUUAAUUAUCUAAUUAUAACCCAUUCAAUUCAGGUUUACAACAAAACAACAAUAUCAUAAGAGAAGAAAGAUCGUAGCGUAGAAAGAUUACCUCUUCCUUCCUUUCUUCAUCCUAGCACUAUGAGAUGAGAUUGAUCGUUUUUUUUCUUCUUCAUUUUUUUUCCGGUAUGCCGCUCCGCGAGCAAGCAAGGAGCGAGAGAAUAAAGUGGGCUGUGGUGAUGUUAGAAUUUUCACCUAUUUGUAUCUAUUUAGUGAUUAGUCUGCUAGUUUUUUUGAUCUUACGCAGGUUUGGUUCCAUGGGUUUGAGAAUUUCUCUAUUGUUCAUCACUCUGGUUUUGUUUUUUUAUUGGCUUUGUGAAACACUUGAAAUUGGAUCGUAUUUCGUUUGGCUUCUCUCCAAAGUAGGACUCCAUUUUUGGGUGCGCGUCCUUUGCCAGUUAUGCAUAAAACUGGGCUUUGGUGGGGGUCUGACCUUCGCCCUUGGGUUUAAAAGCAUUUCUAAGUAGCGAAUCCGCGUCUUUCUUUGAAAUGCGGGUUUCGCCUACUGGGGCGGAAGCCGGCGUAAACCAACCUCCGGAAGGGCAUGAAGCCGGCCCUUCUAAUGUGGCCCCCGCGGACUCUCCUCUGGGGUCUUUUCCCUCAAUUCCCUCCUCUUUUACACCUAUACCAACCGAUCCUUCAAUCCCCUCUGUACCUUCACUCCCCUCCUUAGAGGAAAAUAACCUUUUUGAGAGGGAACAGUCGGUUGAAGGGCCAGCGCCACAGCAGGGGCCUCAAAUUCAAAUCCCUCCCCUGUUCAGCAUGAGGAAUGGCUAGGGGAGGGAUGACCCAUUGGAUUCCAUUUUUGGGAAUGACCGUAGGCGCAGGACCCAAUUUGAAGUGGGUUACUUUCUAUCCUCUUUUGGGGUUCGGAGUUCUUCCAGGGACUUCACAGAUAGGGUUGGGGAAGAACUAGGGCUCCAGACGGCUUCCGAGCCGGAGCUGGAGCAAAUUCGGAUCUUUAUCCGACAACUUUCCCAACCCGAUGGAAGGCCCGCCUCCGCGCGGGAUGCCGCCGCCAUUCUAACGACCAGGUUCGAAGAAUGGAAGAGGGACAACCACUAAGUUAGGCCCCAGAGCCCACUAAUUCUAGUGCUUCCAAACGCCAGGUAGAUGCUACAUAGUUGGUUCUGGUUCUCAUCCUUCAGAGACUACGAGUGUAAUAGGAGCAUCCGUCGACAAAAGGAUCACCCUAAGAUGAGCAUCUCAUGGCUAUUGAGAACGAAUCAAAUCAGAUGGUUCUAUUUCUCAAUCUUUCUGACUUGCUCCUACGGAACCAAGGUCGAAAAGAUUGAGAAAAAUAGGUCAUUCACAACCACUGAUAAAGGAUUCCUCGAAAAGUUAAGGAUGAGUAAUCCUUUUUAGAAAUCGAGUGGGAAGAAGAUGAGCAGCAGCAGCAAAUCCAUAACCAGGGCCCUUCGAAUCUCCCCUUGUGAUCUACCCGAUGGUAUUGGACGGGAUGGGUUGUUGCGGGACCCUGCUUAUGAGGAUUAUUGGUGGGAUGGCGAUCCCUAUUACCCUGUAUAUGACGAGAAUGGUUACCUGGAGAAGUAAGAUGCACACUAUCAUGAUACACCUCAAGCGACGGCAAAGAUUGAUGACUGCACUGAGGAUAAUGAUGACAUGGAGCCAUUUGAUGAGGAUUAUUCAUUCGGAUACGCUCCUAUCCUGGUUAGUGUGGGUGGGGCUUCAUUAAUCUCCUUAAUUUCUCGAGACGAGAAGGAGGAGGGCGGACUUGUAGCGACCCUUUUCAGAGCCUUUCAUCAGCAUGAACAUAGGGCCUUCCCGCUAAUUCAGUAGUUGGGGCUGUUCCAGCUACCGAAGAAAAGGAAAUUUUCAGUAGAGAGCUCUAGUCAUGGGCAGAAAGGAUUCUCAAAGCUUGGAACGGGAGUAGCUCACCAGUAGGUCAACAAGUUUUUAGAAACUGUACCUCUUAGCCUACGGAUUGCGAUCGUUGAGAUCAGAAGCGGGCUUGAACUGCUUUAUUCGGUCUUCAGCUGGCCUACGAUUGGAGGCUGCUGAAAGAGAAGAAAAGGAAAGGUGGUGCUAAAAAGGGACUGCUACCAAUCUUAAACAAAGGGCUACAAAGAAGACAGCAACCGCGUACCCGGGAAAAUGACUUACGGGGAGCUAUCCUAUAACACUAACAAGCGGGGACAGAGAAGGAUAACCUCUUUGAAAAGGACAGAGCCGCUUGGCCGCUACUUACACAUCUGGAGUUCCGGACUGAACUACGGAACGGAAUUCAAGGGCUGGGCUUAGAAGCCCCUUAGAUAGCACUUCCUCUAUGAAUAGAAGAUAUUUUCUUUCUAGUAGAGCUCAUCACGACCAUCAUAACCUAACUCCAGGACUGCUACGGGCACUGAUCCUUCUAUUCAAAGUUUCGUGGCUAUCGCCAUUGAAAGUGAUAAAAUGAGUUUAUACGUUUAUAAGUUGACCUUCUAGGAUCAAUCCUGAAUGGCCAAGUCCCCUUCCAACCAAACUACGAAUUCUCAUUUCUUUGACCGAUAAGAACCUCUUUAUGUGAUUCAAGAAGUGGAUUAGCUUAACUAGACUAAUCGACUUCAAACCUAUCUUGAGAAAGCCAAUCCAAGGCUUAUAGGAGGGAGUUGAAAACGACAAGCAAUUACCUCUUUCUUUCCCCGCGCCUUCUGCCUCGAUUCGGAUGAUGCAUUCCACUUUGUUGACUUUGACUUUUCAAUCCCUGACCGUUCACUUGAACACGGAAGCUUUCAAGCAGAGACAAAGCAGGCAAGAAUGACUUGCCGAUUGAACAAAACGAACUCUAUUGGCAUUACUGAAAUCACAUUUUAUUCGAUCUUGAGUACCAGAGUCGUUUUAAAAUGACUUGAUUCGCUCACAACGUAGAAUCUAUAUUUAGUGAUGAGGUGAGUCCCGUUGAUUUUACUUCUCAGGUUCGUUGUGAGGACCGUUGACUUUGAUUCCCCGUCCAUGAGGUUUCGAAGCAUUAGCUUCUCCCUUUUUCUGCCUCUACCAAAGGGAGAGUUCGCUUCAUUUCCUCUGUCGAGCCUACUUAAUUGCCUUGCUUACCUGCGAUAUUCUCUAUUAAUGCUUUAAUCGGCAGGGUUAGACUUCAUCUUCCUACAGGAUAUUGAAGACUGAUUUCGUAAUACACUUAGGGGAUAUGUAAUACCCAUAAAUGGAUGGAUUGGUAAGGGGAAGUAUGAAAGACUGGGCUUAGGGGGCAACAGAAGAAUCGUUAUAUCCUCCAGCCUUUCCUGCCGGUUAAAAGCUUUCGAGCUAACUACAGGUAAGAUAAAGAUAACUACUACUCGGGGUUGUUCCCUCUCGGAGCGCCCUUUGAUCAUUUCUUUCCUGUAUAGAGUGACUCGCGCAACUCCUUGAAAGAGGGAUGAAAAUGAAAGUGGUGGAUAUUGGUAGCCCCCCAUAGAGCAAUAGCCGACGAACACCAUUGGUAUGCACCUUCCCAGAUCAAAGACUUAACAAACGCCAUUGGUACGCACCACCUUCCAAGACUGAAUCAAUGGGUUGAUUAGAUGGCAGAAGAAAAGUACAUAUGGUAGUUAGGGUAGCGUAUGAGAUAACAGACUACUAAAGGUACAUAUAUACGAUAAGGGUGGUCGUAGAUCAGUAAGUAAUAGUGACUACGGAAAUUAACAUAUCUUCGAUAAGGAAGAUUAUGAGAGAGAGUAUGACUAAGGUUCGGGGAGCAAGAAAAAGGUUGUCUGCUUGUCGGGAGUCAAAGCUGUAUGGGAUAAGGUCGUACAGGUGGUCGAGAAAGGGCUAAAGCUGUUAUCCAAGACCCCUAGAGGUGGGGUCUCGGCUCGCUCGGCGUUUAUCACACAAGUAUAUAUUCCUCCGUCCCAUGAAUUAUUGCUCUCCUUGUGCCUUGAAUACGCUUCCUCCGUUCGUUGACACGGCGUCUCACGUCUUCUUGGAAGUGAGAUUACUAGGUUUGUGGUGAUAGACAGACCAGACAGAAUGAAAAAGGUGCCUCUAUAUCUACAUCUACACAGGAGGACGGAGCGACUCGCUAUGAGUAACAGAGUAUGCAGACUUAAUGGUGAAUAAGCUCGCCUAAAGAAAGAGGGCCUAUAGCUUCGAUCAGAAUAGGUCCUGGAGAUCGGGGAGAUAAGAGUUCGCCCUUCCUAUUUUGAGUGGGUGCUCGCAAGGUCAAAGUAAAAAAUUCUAUUCUUUCAUUAAGACAGGGGUAGGGGGAAUAAAAAGUUUACGUGAUUUAUACCUUUAAUAGAAGUAGAGUGUGUAAAUACCGGAUGCAUAGGUUGAGUCAUUCGCUAAACAACUAUUUUAUUGGGCGAUCAACCAGAUGCUCCUACCCAACCGGACUAAUGAAUGCCAACUGGAAGAACUAACUUUCCUAUCGUUCAGUAAGAGAUCCCUUCUUGUGGCUUGAAAAUGAGUUUGUUGGGGAGAGAUUUUUCAUUAGGGUUUGAUGCUCCUCAAUGGGGAUCCCCAGACUAAUAGCUUGCUUGUGGAACCCUUUGUUUGGUACUUUUACUGGGGGUAUUCUUGUAGAGCUUGGCCCUUUCCUUUCCCUGGCGCACUGCCAUCGAAUCUACUAGUCCUCCUCAAACCCAAUGGGAUAGAAUUCCUUUCGAAUUUUAGUUUUCAACUUCUUCCGUGACAACCCAGAAAUGUCAUGGUUCCUCAUAUAUGCAUUCCAUCAAGUUAGUGCAUAAUUUGACGAUUUCGAUUUUCUUUCUCCGAUCCAGUUCGUUCUGUCUUCUUUCCGACGGAUCCUGCCCUAUUAGAGAAGGGCUUCCUAUUCUGUAUGACAACAGAACGAGCAUUCGCUGGACGGCCAAAAUGGAAUGAAAUGUUGGCAUGGGGUUUCGGCAAUUUCAAUUCGAUUUUCAGUCAAUUUCAAUUGAAAUUGAUCUUGUAUACGCCGGUUGAAGCACACGUUGGAGCAUCCAAAGGAACCAGCAGGGGCUGCUGUGGCAGAGACAGCAGCAAAAGCACUAGUCUCCGUUGAUCACCUACCAGCAGGGGAAGCAGCAUAGGUGGCAGGAACUAACUAGGGUUUAGGUACCAAUUCGAAGAGCAUUCGUUUACCGGGGUCGAGAGCAGCCAGCCCUAGAGGUACCACACUAACAGCGGCAUCCCGACCUGAUACAGAUCCCUACCUCUCUAUCCACAACCGACCCAUCCCAUCAUUUCGAAAGCUUAUUUAUUUACUUGAGGCAUAGGCCUGGGCACAGGCGGAGACACAAGCAAAGGCGGAUCCCGUUAGAACUUCAUAAUACAGGAAUCCCUUCCUAUUUGAGAGACAAUAGUGAACAUUUACCCAUAAUCCAUUGAAGUAGCACCAGCGGCAAAGGCACAGGUCUAAUUAAUUGGGAUGGUUGUCUCAAUGAGAUCACUUAAGAAAUUUCAUAAUAGAAUAUAUAGAAACCCAUUAGAGAACGUGGCCUCUAAGGCACGAAUGAAAAGAAUAUCCCACACCUUUCUUUGAUGCUACCAUAAAACAGGCGGCACUCCCUUCUUAGAAUAGCUUACUUGAGCUUCCCACCUACCCUAGAAGAAAAGCAUUUGCUGCACUACCCUACGUAGAUCUUAGUCGUAAACAAAUAAAAGACUUGACGGAGCUGCUCAUGUAGAUAGCCGCCUUGAUGGAGGAACCAGUGGCACCUGCACGGAUGCCCGGCUGGAACGGUUUGUCAAUGAAUUCAAUCUUGUAUUGGAUGCCCACCCGGAGGGAGAAUAUCCAUUAUAAUAAUAAUCCCAUAUCUUCUUUUGUUCUGCUUCUCGUAAUUAGCCUUGUUGCUUGGUUGCAUACCCUGAGCCCUGACCUUUUCGAAACGAUUUCAAGCCAUAACACGCCCUACGUUCCUAUUAAGAAGAAGGGGAUCUCGUAACGACCCCCCCCGAUCCUCACAUAGUAGUUGAAGGGAAGAGAAUGGAAUUACUCGCAAAACAGCGGAGCAAACUACAAGCCAACGAACGAGCAGAAACAAGCUAGUCAUGGGGUGUGGUUCCUCUCAAUAGGCGAGGCCUCACGUAACAGCGAGAAAGCGAGCAGCAAGUAUAGGUAUAAGUUACACCAGUGGUUGGGAAAGACACAGUUCAAAAGGAAAGUGAUUUAAACAGCUUUGACGAGUCUGUACAGGGCUGGCUCAACGGCAUAGACCAGAAAGAAGGGAUGAUACCCGAAGAUGGUGAAGAGUUGCUCGUUUAUCUCUUAAGUAGUAGUGAAUAAUGAGUGAUCUACUUGAUCGGGUAAGCUGUAGAGAUCGACUGCUCCAGUAGUUGGGGCUAGUAGAAAAAGCUACUGCCCCAGUUGUAGUUUUCUCCGCUGUCCCAGAAAUAGAAGAAACCGUCCAUCCCAUCUCGUUCUUGCCUUGCAUCGGACCAAUGAGUAGCAACUGCUAAUUCUAAUACCAAUGGUUGAGCUUGAUUACUGUCAGGCGUUGAUCCCUUGCUCAGUAGUUUCGAGGUCGUCCAAGACCACACUUGAAAGAAUUAUUACUAUGGGCAGGUAAAGCGGUUGGUGUCUGCAUCCAUCACCAAGGGAAAGGUGGAACUCCAGAUCAACUCUGUGGCAAGCAGGUUAUAUGAAAGUCCCACACUUUCUCAUGGAACUGAUCGGGUAACUCCCUCGCGGACAAUUCAGAUGGGAAACUCUUUCGAGCAAUACCAAACGCCCCCGAGAUCACUACUAUAGACUUCGUUUUCCUCCUCCCCCCGCUGGCUCGUGUUUCUCACCGACCCAAGGAUCAUGAAACCUCACUCUCCGAUUACAGGAAAUUGUACGAGGCCAGCUUGUCAUUACAUAGGUGCGCAAAAAGGACACUGCGCGAGAAGAGGCCCUGACGGCGUAUCUAACGUGGUAUAAGCUCUACCAACUUGUAUAACUCGUACUUUCUUACUUCAUACAGAUCCACGUUAAGUCCACUAAAUUUGAUGAGGGAUCCUAGGCUGAGACCCAUGCCGAAGUCCUUGGUGAUGAUACAGUGAAGAAUGACUGCAAUCCACGUAAGUUUGCCUUUCGAUCUACCUCUCUUUGGACAACUUUGAGUCCAACUUCUGCGGGCAGAUAGAACACGUACUCCUAUGAAUUGGUUGAUCUCUCCUCGGGCACUCCCAAAUGACCCCGAGACCCCUUCGAUUACAAAGAAACAACAAAUUUAGACUACAGCCACAUGGUAUUUAGCUGACCUUGAUUCCGAGGAAUCUGAUUCUAAAACAGAGGCCGAGGGAUCUGGUGUGAAAACUGCUCCUGCGGCUCACUCAACUGAUGAACCCAAUCUCGAUGAAAGACCUAAUCCGAAACAACCCAUCUUUACUAAAUAAAGGAAAGAAGUGGGCGCCUACGUUACCGUUGUCUCGGUUGUCCUUAGCUCAAUCAGUAAAAAGAGAUCCACAAUCUAUUCAAGCAAUAAUCUUCGUUUGACCAUCAGCCGAAAGUCAUGUUGAUUCCACAACACGAAAACUGGAUUUGCGAUCCCAGCACAGGAAAGCUCUAUCCCAUAAUCUAGCGGAUUUGAAAGACCCGACACACCGGCAUUAGCCCCACCCCUGUUCAUCAGCUGCACUUCCUUCAAAAUAGGGGAAUAUUACCCCUAGCCCAGAUCUAAGAAUAAGUAGUAUCUAAUUCAGCAUCGAGAAAGUCAAUGUUGUAUCAAGUUUUAGAAUCAUCUAUUUGACUUCUAACCAAGUAAGGAAGCCUAUAGGAAAUCACCAUGGAAGAAGAGGUGAUUCCAGUUGACUCAGUUGGACGACCAAAAUCAUUAUUGGAUACAAAGCCAUCGCGGUUGCCUGAGCCGAGUUAUAGUCUGUCUGAGUGUCUACGAUGACACUAAAGUAACGGACAAAGCCUCCCAAACCCCCGGACACUCCUACAGCAAAGGCCUUCAAGCCAACCAAGGCCGACACCAUUCAACCGCCAUUCAACGAGGGAACCCCGGAUAUCCCGACAUUGAGGUAAGCCCGAUUGUCUUACUGAUUCUGUUGCCAAACAAUAAUCAAUUUCUUUCACUAAAUAGGUUGUAUUUGGUCCCCUGAAGGCUCUACCUCCGAGGGAAAGGAAAUAGGUCCCAGUAGCAAGCGAUCUUAAUCAGCCUUCUCCUUCUCUUUGAUCUUUCCUAAAGGAUACCUACUUCUUGGAUGUUGGAUGUGGGAUACGCGCAAUUGGGGCUUUGGCUUGAAACUACCAGCGCCUUGUUGUUAACUUUAGUGUUAUAGCACGAUAGGCUAGAUUAGAAUGUAUUAUAUCUGGUAUCCCGUCGAUGAGCUUUUUCUGGGAUUCCUCACCCUAGGAGAGAUUAGAACCAAAAAGAUGGGCUUCUAGGCGAAGAGCGUAGGAUAGAGAGAGAUAAGCAUCGGAUAUCUCGGUUGCAGCUGCCGCUGUGCGGUCUUGUAAUUCAAUUCUUUUUGCCUUCUUCUCUGAGAGUGAGGAUAAUCAUAAAUCAAGAAAGAAAGGAAUGAAAGCAAUCGAAAAAGGUAGCAGUCGUUAGGCCAAAAAGUGGAGAAGUAAGUAGGCCAAUGCCAAUUGAAAGCUAACUAGUUGUCCCUCUUCGAUUUCGAUGACAGGAAAGAUCAGAUGCACAUAAGGAGCUGCACAUGAAGAAUGGCAAGACAUUGAAAGAAGGGGUUCUGUACGAAUGCCCUGUUGAGGAAGAGAAGGGGUUUGAGAAGAAGGCCUUCUCGUCUGCGAUUCUCGUCUUCUCUAUGAAAACUAAGACUCAUAAACAUCACACUGCCCUCUCCUCGACUCCACCAGAUGAUUACAUGGAAGUGACUCCACCCACCCCAGAUGCCUUGGUUGGUUCCACGACAUUGUCAUGUUCUUCUGCCGGCGGAGGACACUUAUUCAAGUCCAACUGGGCCAGAAACGGAUUAAAGGCACGACUUCUUCUUAGCAAGCCUUCCCCGUCAGUGGUGCCCCGUGCCUUACAGUACUUAUUAACGAGUAAAAGCAGUACGCGUUUCUUCUUCAUCCGCUUCAAGUUUUGAGCCGGAAUAAUGAGCAGCUCCAACAAGGCAAGAGACAGUGUCUGGCGAAGGUUGCUUUUAGAACGGUUCAGAAGAAGAAGACCUUUCAAUGGCUCGGUCAAUAUCGAUCCAAUUGCUUAUAUAAACGGAUCCAUCAAGGAAGAAAGCGGGGUUGAUGGCAUUUCUAGGAACUGGGGAUUGAACAGAAGGUUCGACGUAGUUGAGGAAGGUUUCGAUUCUGGAAUCUGCUUUGAUCGGAUCAGGAUUUCAGUUCAUUUCCCGCUCUUAGGUUUAGGAUUUCUCUUGACUUCCUCUAGUAGCUAGUUUAGAGUUCCUAUCCUAGCUGUCUUCUUUCCUAGUAGCUCGGUUCUUAGGUAGGUAGCUUCCUAUCCUAUUCGCUAUUAGCUCGUAGCUCUCUUCUUGUAGCUAGGCAGUUAGUUGUUCCUAUCCGACUAGUAGGAAGCGCGGCUAUGGAACUAACAGAAUAGAUAGAGCGGCAACCGAUGCUACCAGCCUAUCGUACUUUAAGUCCGUCAGCUGAUAAACUAGAGAGACCUCAAAUGCUUUAUUUUAAAGCCUGCCUCGGCUACUACCAAGAAAUUCCCUCGAUCCCCAAGUCACGUCACUAACUUUCUGUUGAUCGCAUAGCUACUUAGUUCAUGUAUGCCACAGCAGCGGAAGGUAGCAUGAAGAAGAAAAAACCUCUAUCUCUUUCUUGCUCAGUAACCUGCUCUAUUAAUCGGCUAAAUUGAGCGAGACGAGGACGAGUAGAACAGUAAGGUCAGAACUGAUAACUUCGUGCGGUUUGUGGCUGGUCGUUCCUCAAUACGUGGAGCCAAGGAGGCAAGUGAGCUGGUUCUGGUUCCGACCGAUGAAUUUCAAUAAACCUAUCAAAAAUGUGAUGUCUCAAGGGAGCGGCCGAGGGCUCGUGAGUUCAUGAAUGGAAGAAGGGGACUUCUGGUCGUGAAUCGUGCAGGUAUUUGUGCUGGACGCUCCGACUGCCUUCAUUAGCUGUUCCAGGGCCUCUACGCACACGGAUUGACUUAUUUCUUUCCCAAGUCAUCACGUCUCCUCCACCUUAGCUGAGACUGCUAAGUGAGGCAGAUACGGGACAGGGAAUGUGGAAGAUUCUCGAUUCAUUAUAAUGACGAACCCUCUCUUUCAAUAGUUCUUCUUUCUGGAUUCGCUAUUUGCUAUUCUCAAAACUCUAGGAUAUAAGGUUCUAGGCCCCGAACCAGUGGUUAGGUAAAAAGGCUCUCUUCUUCCUAUUCACUAAAUGGGAAACUUGGGUAAUUCUAUUCCGUUGGAUAAACCGUUCGACUAGAAAAUACAAACCAGAGAGAGAGGGUGACUAUCAAUUAGAAAGACGGCUUUUCAUAAGCACAAACAACAGGAGAAAGACUGAAACAAGAAGAUGUGAUCUUGGCCGAAGGACUGGUUAAAAUAGCAAUGAUCCAAUGCCCGAAUGGGCAACAAGAACAGGCAUUGAGACUUCUCACCUCUAGAGGGAAGGGACUUUCCGACGAAGUUUCUGCUCGACCUGUAUACAAUGAAUCCUGCCGAUUUCUUAAUUCGAUAUGCCUCACCUUUCUAUUUAUCUUCCUUCUACGGACCCCGUUGCUUACACAGAAAGCGCUGUUCUCACUUUCAAUGGGUGGAAGUACGCUUGAGAUCAUCAAAUAAGCAAGGAGAAUCCUUUCAUCAAUAAGUUUGGUCAGUUGGCGAGCUGGUACCC
rnacentral:lncRNA from 1 species